rnacentral:rRNA from 1 species
UACGUAGGGGGCAAGCGUUGUCCGGAAUCAUUGGGCGUAAAGCGCGUGUAGGCGGCUCGAUAAGUCUGCUGUGAAAGUCCAGGGCUCAACCCUGGAAUGCCGGUGGAAACUGUCGAGCUAGAGUCCGGAAGAGGCGAGUGGAAUUCCUGGUGUAGCGGUGAAAUGCGCAGAUAUCAGGAGGAACACCAAUGGCGAAGGCAGCUCGCUGGGGACGGUACUGACGCUGAGACGCGAAAGCGUGGGGAGCAAACAGG